CACACACACAGCUACAUCGCAGGUACACAUACUUACACAUACACAGGUAUACACACAGCUACAUCGCAGGUACACACACUUACACAUGCACAGGUACACACACAGCUACAUCGCAGGUACACAUACUUACACAUACACAGGUACACACACAGCUACAUCGCAGGUACACAUACUUACACAUACACAGGUACACACACAGCUACAUCGCAGGUACACAUACUUACACAUACACAGGUAUACACACAGCUACAUCGCAGGUACACACACUUACACAUGCACAGGUACACACACAGCUACAUCGCAGGUACACAUACUUACACAUACACAGGUACACACACUUACACAUGCACAGGUACACACACAGCUACCUCGCAGGUACACACACUUACACAUACACAGGUAUACACACAGCUACAUCGCAGGUACACACACUUACACAGGUACACACACACACACACACACAGCUACAUCGCAGGUACACACACUUACACAUACACAGGUAUACACACAGCUACAUCGCAGGUACACACUUACACAGGUACACACACUUACACAGGUAUACACACAGCUACAUCGCAGGUACACACUUACACA